CAGAAGUAGUAGUAGUAGUAGUAGUACUAGUAGUAGAAGUAAUAGUAGUAACUUUCAAAGCAAUGUCUACAAGUUUAAAUUCCUUAACCCUGUUCAAGGUGUAUACACACUCAAUAUUUAACUACAGUCCAGGUUUGCAAUUAACAAACUAUCUGAAAAGCCUGUGUGUGAGUCAGAUGUGUCUGCGGCUAAUCUAUUGGUUAUAAAAUAUCACAGCCUUUUCUGAUUGGCUGAGUUCAAAUACAGAAAGUUUACCUGUUAGAUUGAAAUUUUGGAGAAGGCGUAUUGAAGAAAAAAUGCAGGUUAAACUUGUUGUUAAAAUGAAGUUAAUGUAAUUUCACAAACAGUAGAGUUUAACUUAACAAGAAUUUCUUAAAAUAAUAAUGUAUGGAUAUCAUUUGGAAAGUGACAUGAAAUGUUGUUAAAAAGUGAUGCAUACAAGUGUUUGAGCAGUCUGUCUAGGAAUAGAACAACAACUGAAGCUGACCAGUUGAUGGAAGAUACUGCAGAGUUUGGCAGGGAAAUAACCCAAGACAGCAAAGCGGCUCUUUUGGCGCAUUUACCAAGAGGACUAACAUGGCCACAAAUUCAUGAGAUCAUGCAGAAGCCGUACAGUAUAACAGCAGGACAAGUUCUAUAAAAGAUCCACGACCUACUGAAGCCCAGCUAAUUAACAAAAAAGUUUUUAAAAACUGUAAUUUUAUCCCACCUGGGUACUUAUAAUUACUAAGCUGCCUUCACAAGUUUUAGACUUGCAAUUAUAUUUUAAACU